ACAAAGUUUGGUUCUGGCUUUAAAGUUGGUUAUUUCAUAAAAAAAUACAUGACACCGUAAAGAAUUAGUGAGAUUACUUCAUUUAUAAACGUUAAAAACGUCCUUACUUGUUUUAAGUAUUAUUUUUACAAAAAAAAUACUUUGAUUUUUCCACUUACAUCAGUAUCAAAGAUUAAAAACAAAGGAAACUUAGGUUUAGUUACUGAUUAGAGGGUUGGUAAAUUAUGGUGCCAGCAGCCGCGGCUAUACCAUUAACCCAAAUCAACUAACAACAGCAAAAAAGACGGUUAAAUAAACUUUUAUUAAAGAAUAACAAACCAAAUUAACAAAGUAUAAUUUUUUAAUAAAAAAGCCCGUAAUAUUCUUUUUAAUUGAAGCCGUAACAUCUUUUACAGAAACUAGGAUUAGAUACCCUAUUAUCAAAAGAAAUAAAUAUUAAUACAUUUUGCUUGGGUACUACGAACACAUGUUUAAAACCCAAAGGACUUGGCGGUACUUUAACCCACUUAAGGGAACCUGUCCUUUAAUUCGAUAAUCCACGACAAUCUUAUUUAUUUUAGAACAAUUCAGCUUGUAUACCGUCGUCAUAAGUUAACCUUAAAAAGAAAAAAAGUUAACAAUAAAGAUAAAAUAAUUCUUUCUAACAAGUCAGAUCAAGGUGCAGCCAAUAAAUAAAGAAGAGAUGGGUUACAAUUAACAACUUCUAAUGGAAUCUUAAAAGAAAGUAAAGAAAGAAAUAGGACUUAAAAGUAAUUUGUAAAAACAAAUACCAAUGAAUAAGGAAACAAAGUGUGCACAUAUCGCCCGUCGCUCUCAUUGAAAAACGAGAUAAGUCGUAACACAGUAGAUGUAGCGGAAGCUGCCUCUAACAAAUA
rnacentral:ncRNA from 1 species